GUUAGCAGCAGUUAUACCCUAGAGAUGGGAGUAACCCACUGCAGUUGCUGCCCCCUGGUUUUUGACCGAGAUCAGUGGCUAUCAUCAGGGAUCGAGCUGUGGCCUUUAAGAGACAAACUCACAGUUCCCGCGAGGGAUGUGGCUGAUUCCUAUCCAGGAGCUGUAUGCUUAUCUUGAGUUCUCCCAUUCACCUCCCCCCACCGGUGAGGAAUAUCCCGG